rnacentral:rRNA from 1 species
UACGGGGGGGGCAAGCGUUGUUCGGAAUUACUGGGCGUAAAGGGCUCGUAGGCGGCCAACUAAGUCAGACGUGAAAUCCCUCGGCUUAACCGGGGAACUGCGUCUGAUACUGGUUGGCUUGAAUCCGGGAGAGGGAUGUGGAAUUCCAGGUGUAGCGGUGAGAUGCGUAGAUAUCUGGAGGAACACCGGUGGCGAAGGCGGCAUCCUGGACCGGUAUUGACGCUGAGGAGCGAAAGCCAGGGGAGCAAACGGG